rnacentral:rRNA from 1 species
UACGUAGGGGGCUAGCGUUGUCCGGAUUUAUUGGGCGUAAAGCGCGUGUAGGCGGCCAGAUAGGUCUGCUGUGAAAACUCGAGGCUUAACCUCGAGCUGUCGGCGGAAACCAUCUGGCUAGAGUCCGGAAGAGGAGAAUGGAAUUCCCGGUGUAGCGGUGAAAUGCGCAGAUAUCGGGAAGAACACCCGUGGCGAAGGCGGUUCUCUGGGACGGUACUGACGCUGAGACGCGAAAGCGUGGGGAGCGAACAGGG